rnacentral:tRNA from 1 species
GACCGCCUGGCGCAAUGGUAGCGCGUUCGAUUCCAGAUCGAAAGGUUCGAUCCGCUCAGUGGUCA